ACGGAUGAAGGUGGUACAUCUUCGUGGCGGGAAAAACAUGAAAACAAACAGGAUUUUUUAUUUUAUUUUAUUUUAUUAACAACAAAUCAAUACAGAAGUGUUUCAGUUACCUUUCUGCAAGCAGCACAAUGGUUCAAAUAGUUAAAACUUCAAGUGUGGAAGGACCUGGUCCUACUGAGUGGCUGCUGGUUGAACUCCAGGGGGAGAUGAUGUCCAGGUAGAACUCUGGAUUGGCUGGGAACCUGAUGGGAGAUCUGCUCUACAACAUGGCACUGGUGUACCUGUGCUCAUUGUAGGACACCACAUCCUCUAUGGGAAGGUGGUCAAACUGGAGAAGCCCUUCGCUGUCCUGAUGAAACACUCUGGCCUCCCACAGGGGGAGAAGGUUCCCAUGGAAAUCAACCAGCAGAACCCCACCACCUACUCUUAUUUCCGCCCUCAUCAAGAAGAAGCUCAUCUUCAAUACUCGCCCAAAGCCCAUCAUCACUAAUGUGCCCAAGAAAGUGUAGUGAAGUGCUUGGUCAUAUGCAUUAUAGGGCUCACUGUCGCAAAACACUUUUAACUGGAAAAAAAUGGACAAGUUCAGAUAGUCCCUGUUGUAGUCUGUUUUGUGCCUGUUGCAGUCUGUUUUCUUCCGUUUUGUGCCUGUUGCAGUCUGUUUUCUUCUGUUUUGUGCCUGUUGCAGUCUGUUUUCUUCUGUUUUGUGCCUGUUGCAGUCUGUUUUCUUCUGUUUUGUGCCUGUUGCAGUCUGUUUUCUUCUGUUUUGUGCCUGUUGCAGUCUGUUUUCUUCCGUUUUGUGCCUAACGACCUUGACCCUGGUCACCUCUAUGGGAGCAAAGGACAUGCCGCACUCUUAAUGACGCCAGACCCACAAGUAUGGAGCACCCAUUGCAAGACUGUACUUGGGACACACUCCUCUGGCUUGAGUGCUGGAAUUUGCUGGAAUUUGCUUAAUGCUGUGGUGUAUUAUUAAAAUAUCUUUAUUAUUGCACUUAUCAGAUGACAGGAUUUAGUAAUGUCUUGACAUGACAUUUGUACAGUGAUUACUUUCAGAUGGGGAAGAAAUCACCACAACAGUCGAAUGAGAAUAUUUUUUUAUUCAGAUAAAAAAUAAUUUUUUUUUCAACUGUUGUACAAGUCGGAAAAAUAACUGUUUUGAUUUGAAAUACAAAACCUUUUUCCAACAACAUGUCUUGCCUUCUAUAUUUAAACAUAAUGAAAUACAUAGGUGGUUACAAUACUUUAUUUUCAGCUAUUACAUACCAAUAAAAUGUGUAUUUUAUGUUUCAAUAGCCA